rnacentral:lncRNA from 1 species
GGCAGCAGGCUCGCCCGGGGCCAUCCGGGCUUGGGGUCCUUCUUAGGGAUUGAGUCUGGGGUCCGAGCUUCUGUCACCCUGAGUAAGUUGUCCUAUUUUGCAUCGAAAGCUUCCUUGGAAGCUGGGACUCCCAUCGGGAGUUCCAAUCCUCGCUGCGACAGGGUUUUCUGUACCUCGGGCGCUGUUUGUUUUUCAAUCGUCGCUGUUGCGAUCCAUUGCCUUCCUUUUUCGCUUGGAGUUUUUCUCCGCUGAAGCCGAGGUGAAGUUCGGCUCCCGUAGGAGUCUGGACGAAGAACACUAGCUGUUGAAGUUGGUGACGA